rnacentral:rRNA from 1 species
GACGAACGCUGGCGGCGUGCUUAACACAUGCAAGUCGAACGGUGAAGCACCUUCCUUUUGGUGGGUGUGGAUGAGUGGCGAACGGGUGAGUAACACGUGAGUAACCUGCCCCCUUCUUCUGGAUAACCGCAUGAAAGUGUGGCUAAUACGGGAUAUUCUGUGCCUGCUGCAUGGUGGGUGUGGGAAAGAUGCGCUUUUGGGUGUUUUUGGUGGGGGAUGGGCUCGCGGCCGAUCAUCUUGUUGGUGGGGUGAUGGCCUACCAAGGCGGUGACGGGUAGCCGGGCGGAGAGGGUGGACGGUGAGACUGGGACUGCGACACGGCCCAGACGCGUACGGGACGGAGCAGUAGGGAAUAUUGCACACUGGGGGCAAGCCUGAUGCAGCGACGCCGCGUGAGGGAUGGAGGCCUUCGGGAUGUAAACCUCUUUGGCCAGUGAAGCAGGCCUGUCCCGUGUGGGUGGGUUGACGGUAGCUGGAGAAGAAGCGCCGGCUAACUACGUG